GGUGUGAUGAUAUAGUUAUCUGUAGAGGUGUGAUGAUAUAGUUAUCUGUAGAGGUGUGAUGAUAUAGUUAUCUGUAGAGGUGUGAUGAUAUAGUUAUCUGUAGAGGUGUGAUGAUAUAGUUAUCUGUAGAGGUGUGAUGAUAUAGUUAUCUGUAGAGGUGUGAUGGUAUAGUUAUCUGUAGAGGUGUGAUGAUAUAGUUAUCUGUAGAGGUGUGUCAGAUAUAGUUAUCUGUAGAGGUGUGAUGAUAUAGUUAUCUGUAGAGGUGUGAUGAUAUAGUUAUCUGUAGAGGUGUGAUGAUAUAGUUAUCUGUAGAGGUGUGAUGAUAUAGUUAUCUGUAGAGGUGUGAUGAUAUAGUUAUCUGUAGAGGUGUGAUGAUAUAGUUAUCUGUAGAGGUGUGAUGAUAUAGUUAUCUGUAGAGGUGUGUCAGAUAUAGUUAUCUGUAGAGGUGUGAUGAUAUAGUUAUCUGUAGAGGUGUGAUGAUAUAGUUAUCUGUAGAGGUGUGAUGAUAUAGUUAUCUGUAGAGGUGUGUCAGAUAUAGUUAUCUGUAGAGGUGUGAUGGUGUGUCAGAUAUAGUUGUAUCACUGUUGCUCUCCCAUCACUCUCUCCCUCAUGCCAGUCUCUCCCUCAUGCCAGUCUCUCCCUCUUGCCAGUCUCUCCCUCAUGCCAGUCUCUCCCUCUUGCCAGUCUCUCCCUCUUGCCAGUCUCUCCCUCUUGCCAGUCUCUCCCUCUUGCCAGUCUCUCCCUCAUGCCAGUCUCUCCCUCAUGCCAGUCUCCAUGGCGACACCCUCUAGCUACUUAGUCUGUGUGGGGAGAUGUAAAAAGUUAGGAAACGUACUAAUAAGUAGGUCUGGUUUUUAUUUUAUCUUCAUGGAUAACAUUACAUAUCUAAGUCUCCAGGUGGGUUAUGAACUCGGGUUAUGAUCUAUAGCGUCAAUAAUGCAGGGGCUCUCAGAAGAGACUUCAAAGACGUGAUGUAUAUUUAUAUAUAUAUAUAGUUUAUGAUGCUUGUAGAGGGAAAACAUCAAGAGUGGGAGCACUCAGAAAUAGUAGGAUAUAUGCCCCAGCUAGUUCAGGAAGGAAACUGUAUAUCAGAAGUCUUUUAAUGUCGACCCGGCCUGUAAUCAUAUGAUCGUGUCAUUAUCAGAGCUUCAGAAGACUGGAGGAGUCUGUCUCCCGUGUUUUCUAUAGAAGGUAAAUUACGGGUCUAUUUGGCAGUUCUGUUGGCACGUGAUUUUGAGGUGACUAGAUGGCUGCCAUCUUGGAUCGGAUGCUGUGGUAGAAAUGGCAGGUAUUUACGGGCACACUGGCAGAGGCUCUGCGGUCUGGUGUGUGUGUGUGUGUGUGUGUGUGUGUGUGUGUGUGUGUGUGUGUGUGUGUGUGUGUGUGUGUGUGUGUGUGUGUGUGUG